rnacentral:tRNA from 1 species
AUUUAGGUAGUUUAAUUAAAAUUUUAAUUUGUGGAAUUAAAGAUAUUUAUUAUAAAUUCUAAAUA